GUUUCUUUGCUUUUGCUUUUUUCGUGUUUGUUUGUUUGGUUGGUUUGUUUUGUUAUGGCAGAACCUCUCACUCAGAGAUCAGCCAGUCUAUACCCCUUCAGAGCUGGGCUUAUAGACAUCACUACUGUACUUGGCUUCUAUGGUGCUGUGGAUACAAAUGAGUCUUCACGCUUCCACAGCAGGUAGUUUAACAACUGAGACGUCUCCCAACCCAAAUAUAUGCUUACCAUACAACCAAUUAUCCUAUUCCUAAGAAAUUACCUAAGGAAAAAAUGCAUCCAUAUGUCCCACAGCAACUUGCACAUGACUCUUCACACCAGCUUUUUUGGUGACAGCCAAACUAUAGAUUUAGUAAUAGAUGGAAAAGUUGCUGGAACAUUUACAUAACAGGAGAAAUGAAUGGCCACCUCACACAGGAGCUCAGAUUGGUCUCAAAGGAAUUUUAUGCUGAGUAAGGGAGACAAAUCUAAAAGUAUAUACUGUUUGCUUUCACUUACAUAAAAUUCAAGAUAAUGCAGACCAGCCUCCAGUGGCAAAGGCAGACCAGAGAUUUCCUGGAAAGAGACUGAGGAGGAGAACAUGAGGGCCGUCAGGAUGCAAAGGAGGAGAGAGAGAGAGAGAAAGAAGGAAGGAAAAGACGUAACAGCCAAGUGUCCUCUGCUCAACACAUCUGCUUCUAAAGCCUGCUCCAGCUGUGGUGGAAAUCCAGCACUAGCUUCUUAAAAGAUUCUUCUUUCUUCCGUUAUGAGUUUACUUCUGGCACACAGGAAAUUUGAAGAGAACAAAAGGAGAAAACAAACAGGCACUCCUCCCUGAAGUAGUACGUGAACUACAGGCAGCCUUGGACUUUACAUUGGUUCCUCUUUAAUCUUUGUCCAGACACUGGUCAAAUGUAUUCUACACAGCUAGUCACAGACCCAGCUUUCAUUUCCUUCUCGCCUUGAGGAGGGAUGGGGGCCGGAGGGGAAGAAGAACUAGGAAAGCCCACAUAUGACAAAACACACAGAGAGGGAAGGAACCAUGAAACUCCCAGGACUGAGCAGACGUCGACUCCACACUGACCUGCUCUUCACUCUCCUUACGACCUCCUGACAGCAGAGUCUAUCUAGAUGACAGGCCAGACUGCUGGGAGAGCACUGGACCAGAUACCAUAGCUCCUCUGCCUUUGAUUAAUCCUUUCUGUCAGUGAGGCUUGGCAACAAGAGUCCUCUCGGAGCCUGGAUUUCUCAGUUAGGAAAUGGGGCAAUGACAGUCCCUCCUGGUCCCAGGACUGCAUGGACAAUGGAGAAGCAGGCUAUGCAAAUGCUCUGUUCAGAAUAUGGCUUUGUGAGAGCUGAGAUCACCUUCAUCUCACAGCGGUGGCUAGGUGUGCUGCAUACUAGCUAGGUGUAAGCACUAUGUGUGAGAAUUCACACCCCCAAGGAGCUCACAUGCAAGCUCAGUGGGGAGGUUAAGGCUGGAAAUGACACAAAAGCAAUGUCCUGAGAGGUUAUGGGAAAGGAAAAGUGAAUCCUCCUUUCAACACCAGGGUAUGAAUAGAAGGGCUUCACUGAGAAAGUAACUCUUGCUGACCCUGGAGGUUUGAAGGGUGUAGAAUCAUGGGAUGAGGUGAGGAAACAUUGCUCUGUGGUAGGAAAAAUUCAUCAGCUAAGACAUGAAACCUGAAAGCAUAAUGUUCAGGAGACAGAGGAAAGCUGCUCGUUCUACAGAAGUGAAAACUGCCUAUGAGGUAGGUCAGUCUAAAACUAUCCUUACUCUGCCAUUACUUUCCUAUUCUGUUUCCCUUAAGAAACUAACAGAAAAAUCAGAUAGAGAUGGCUUGUCACUGCCUAUAUCACAUCCAGUGCUACUACCAAUCAUAGUAGGUCACACUGUGAACAGGAGCUAUGAACCCAGGUCUAUACUUUGACCUUUGUCCUACUUGGUACUCAUGAGUUGAAUCAUUUUAGCGUGUGUGUGUGUGUGUGUGUGUGUGUGUGUAGCUCUAGGACUCUGAGUCAUCUACCAUCAGACCUAUUCACAAAGUCUGAGUCAGGAGCUCACUUCCCUGGGACCUGUGAGCAUGAGUCUACAGUAUUGAUAAGAAUGGACAGAAAUUGGAAGAAGAGGGCUCUGAAACUCCAGAUGCUGGAAUGACCAUUAUUUUGGAUUGUUUGGCAAAGAGGCUAAAGAGACAGAUUCCCUUGGUAGUGGUUGCCUGCAGGUCCAGAUCACUAGCUCAGCAACAGUUGCUAUGACCUACUGGCUGGCUAUAGAGCAGGCUAAUUAAGAACUGAAGAAUGAGAGUGUGGAGGUCAUGGAGAGAUGGCUCAGCAACUAAGAACAGAUAUAAUACGUGUCUUGAAGAGGACCUAAGUAUGAAUUUCAGCUAUGUUAGAAGACUCACACAGUCAUCAGUACUUCAAGCACCGGUUCUCACAUGUGCACAUGCGUAAUUAAAAGUAUAAUAAAUCUUUAAAUUCUUUUUAGAACAGAAGAAUGUGGACAUGUUGUAAAAGAAAGGGCAUGCCAAUUUUCUAUGGAUGGGUCGUUUGAAAUAACUUGGCUUCUUUUCUGAUCAACAAAGAAUAUUUUCACAAUGCACAAAAAGAUCCAAAACUUCAAACACACACACACUCUCUCUCUUUAUAAAUAUAAACGAGGGAAAAAUACAAAGUCAAGUAUCACUUUCCAGUUUAGCCAUUGUUAGAUUUCUGAGCCGUGUCUUCGUACUGUCCCUUUAAUAGCACAUAAACAUGUACCAGUGCGAAGGGAAUCACACCACACAUAGUUUUAUAAAUAUAUAUGUUUUAGUCUGUCUUUCCUGGGCCACACUUCAUGUACUGAGCACAGAGUUUGACAUGGAGUUAAACAACUGAGCACUUCAUUGUCUAACGAACCAUAGUCUACUGCACUCCUGUCAAGUUUUUGGUCCCCAAGGUUUCUCUGCUAUAAAAGUCCUUUCUGUGGCCAGUCUCUCAGACCCAAGGUUGUCACCCUUCUCAGACUUUUGGAAACCCCCUUGCUACCUGUCCCAACACUGUUUCUCCUCCCUUGAAGGUACAAAUCACAAACAAUGCUAUUGAGCUUGACCUUCACUGUGUUCCGAGAGGGAGACUCUUCAUUCACCCUACAAGAAGCCUGAGCCAUACUGGAACUUUCUAGCAAAGAGCAUGGUACACAUGACAUCUGAACAGAUGAGUGCACUCAUGGGAUAUAGAUGCGUUGGUGGCAGCAUAUAGCCAAGUACACAGGUGAUGUCUAAGGCACAGAAGAAGGGAAGGAUCUACUCACCAGGAGGGGAAGUGCAGAGUCUGGGUCUGUAGGGAGAGGACCACUGCAGCUGCCUGGGAUGAGAAGGCUUCUGUGGGUUCUGAGCAGACAGCUAUCCGCUAAAACACACCAAAAAGGAAGCCAGGCCACCUCUGCCUGUGUUGUCACUGGCGGAGUAACCCAGAAGGGUGGGGAGCCACCUGCUGCAGAUUCUAGUAACACACAUCUAUCAUUUGCAGCCAGAAAUGCAAAGCUAAGGACCACCAGGGUUAAGGAUUAACCAUCUUCAGUGUGGACAAUGUACACACAGAGUCUAAGAGCAAAUUGUCUUCUUAGGCCCCCGAUACAGGAGCCGGAGACAUGGGGAGUCCUGGCCAGAGGCACACAUUUAUAAGAACAAGUAUAUGUGAGGUACUACCUCUAUACUGUCUAUCAAGAUGUGUCCUUUGAGGCCUUGAGAGACCUGUGUUGCCCAGUUCUAUAGCUACCAGCCAAAUGUUCCCACUGAAAUGGAAACUAUAAUGGGGAGCACCUCUGCAGUGACACUCAACACAUGCACCCAUGGCUGCUACAGAUGACGGAUAGUACAGAUGCCUAACAUUUAUGACAUGGCAGAGCACUCUGCGGAUGCUGUUACCUCAGAAAGUUCUGUAUGUGAUAGGCAGCUUGGAACAGAUUAUGAAGGACCAAGGACACCUUAAAUUCAGAAAAGUUUUACACAUAUGUUAACAUUGAGAGCUAAAGUGUCUUUAUGAAUCACAGGUGUUUCAGUAAAGUUUUGAAAAGUCUCAACAUGCAAAUGUUAUAUUUUUUAUAGAAACUCACAGGUGAUAUCUUCUUAAAGGGCCACAGUUAUAGUGAAGAUUCCCUGUUGUCAUCAUUUUUUUAAAACUCCUUUUUAUAUUUGAAAUAUACAAAUCACAGCUCAUUCUAGAAGACUAAUUUCCUCUUGAUGUGUUUAGCAUCCUGUGCACUAAGUGCAGUGUUACUCCCAGACAUAUAGCCCAGCAAUCACCCCCUCCUAGUACAGAACAAAGAGAUUUCAUGAUUUGUCCUAAUUUAUAUCUCAGUGGCAAAAGGUUAAUAAGCAUAGGAAAGGCUGAAAGACCUGAGUAGUAAGAAUGAAAGAUGCAAUUGAUUCAUCACCUCCAGGGAACCAUGGUGUGAGUAAGCCAAGAAAUUCCCUUCCCUCAACCCACAUUCAUGUGCAUAACUAGUGUACUACCAGUCUCUGACAGUGUCCAAUGCUGUGUCAAUUACUGAGAGAAAAGAAGGGAGCAGCAGGAAGAGCAUGCUCUAGGCCCUGACCUUCUGGCCACCUUUAGGCAGAGAUAGCAGUGAACUUGCUGUUUGCCUUGUGCCUGGAAAGCCUCCUGGAGGGAGAGACUAGAAUUGUUAAGACUUCCUUCUCUGAGACCUGUCUCUUCCCCGAGUUAGAGUAUGGCAAGGAACCAGUGCAAGUACAUCAGAAAGCCAGAAGAGGUGGUUCAAAGAUGGAAGGAGAUGGAUGCAGUGAGGAAUAAAAGUCAGACCCCUUCCUCCACAUGGGCCCCACGGUCUAAGAGAAAGCAAAUCUGAAGAGGUCCUACUCUCACUCACAACAACCCUCUUCUUGGACAUAUUGAAGAGGCUGGGGAGUCAGGAAAAGGCAAGGACAUCCCAGAGAGAGUUUCUGGACUCUCAAAGGAACCCAGGGCCACUGAGGUGCCUCUUUAGUUGUCUAGUUUGGUUCAUCCCUUGCAAGAAAAGCUCCAUCCUUUCAGUGUCUUUGCUGGACUUCUGCAUUGGCCAUUAGAAUUCAGAACUGGGUGACAGUAGGAUGCUGGUGACCCCCUUUCAUCCUGCCUAAGAUGGGCUCUAGAAAGCAGAACACCGUGUCCUCAGUAACCAGGCCAGCUAUUAGUACCAGUAACUGAUGGUCUCUAGUGAAUAACUGGAAUCCAGAAUUGCUGUCUACAAGUCCCAGUAUCUAUAACAGAAACUGACAUUGGCCUUGCUGCUGAAGCCAAUAGACUCAUCUGAUCCUCCUUUGCUCCUUCUCAUAAACUGUGUUCUGGAGUUGUCUCUAGCAGAAAAGAAAAGUCUGCUUCAGUUCACUGCUCUCCAGAUGCACUGACAGUCUGGCUCUCCUCCUUCUUUAAUAUUUACACAUAUUAGGAAAGUCAUACCACAGAAGCACAUAGGGGUCUUCGGAAGGACUUUGUUGUCUGUCUCCUUUCCAUUGAUUAAGCUGACCUAAAAGAAGACGGUAUACUGAUUCAGCAAAGAGCAGUUCGGUGGCAAAGCUCUGCUGAGUGUAGCAGAGAGAAUCCCAAGUUCAAACUCCUAGGAGUGUGAAAGGUCCCGUCAGUCCCUACAGGUCAUAGUGGACAGAGAUCAGGCAGAACUUUGGCUAUGGUUGUAGCCCAGAAUUACAUGCCAGGAAUUUAAGCAUUUUCUGUAUAUAUUAGGGAAAACAGAAGGAGUCAAGUGUAAGUCCUAGGAAUUGAGAGGAGAGCUAUGAAUGCCUCAGCAUCAGUAGACACAUCCCGAAGCCACACUGUCCAGUGUGCAACCACAUAGAGUUGCAAGAAAUAACUCUGAAGUUAGUGGGAGUGAGAAACUGGUCUUUUAAAAAAAAAA